rnacentral:lncRNA from 1 species
CUUAAGUCCUCGGACGGGACUACAAAGCCCAAUAUGCAAUGCGCUCCAAGGUCCAAGCGGCCGAAUGAAGACUCGGAGCCCACGUUACGUGUCCGCCUGCGUCAAGCGGGCGGUAGUCACUCCCACGCUUUUUUCUUCCGCUUGCACCUUGGUCGCCAUUUUGUGUUGAAGGCUGUAGAACCUCUGAGUCUCGUCGACUCUAUGGUCAAGCAUUUCGGGAUUCGACCAAUCGUAAUCACGAUCUCGGAAAAAGACCCCGCCUUUAUCCGCAAGGAGGCGGGAAUUGCCACGAAGCUCCCGUGGAGAGAGAGGAAGAACCUGAAAAAGACCAAUAAGAAAGAUGAAGUUGAUGACGCCAGCCAAUUGGAACGUGAGGAGAUAACGGCCAAUGGGAGUGGAGGGACCCCGAACACGUGGGUGGGGGAGCUGAGCGCUGAGACCAAGGGCUAAAGCUGCGAGGUGAGUCAGUCACCUUGAGCAGGGAGUGUGCUGUGGGCCGAGCAGGGGCUGCAGGGGAGUGGGAGUGCAGGUGACUUGGGGCCCGGAGACAGGGUCCGCUAGGCCGUGGGCUGUGCCAUGUGGAGCAGCAUUUGCCUCCAGGGAUAGGGAAGGAGGACUAAAGUCUUUAAGCCUUAUCAAUUAAUGUUAAUUACCAACGAUUGAAAAAUGCAGACCACCAAGGCACUGCUCAUUUCUCCAGUUCUGAUCCGCUCCUGUACCAGGGGUCUAAUCAGGCCUGUGUCUGCCUCCCUCCUGAGUAGACCAGAGGCUCCAUCUAAAAAGCCUUCCUGCUGCAGCUCCCCUCUCCAGGUGGCCAGACGGGAAUUCCAGACCAGUGUUAUUUCCCGGGACAUUGACACAGCAGCCAAGUUUAUUGGUGCUGGGGCCGCCACAGUUGGUGUGGCUGGAUCAGGGGCUGGCAUUGGCACAGUGUUUGGUAGCUUGAUUAUUGGCUAUGCCAGGAACCCGUCUCUCAAGCAGCAGCUCUUCUCCUAUGCCAUCCUGGGCUUUGCCCUGUCUGAGGCCAUGGGGCUCUUCUGUUUGAUGGUCGCCUUCCUCAUCCUCUUCGCCAUGUGAGGCUCCAUGGGGUCACCCGGCCGUCCCUGCUGCUUUGACUCCAUGCCAGUCCUGGUGCUGGAGUGUGCUGAGCUUUACCAUUAAACUACGUUUCUCUAAACCAUGUGCCUGUGCCUGUCUUUCUACCCCGGGGGUAGGGGACAGCUUUGGAAAAGUGAGAGGUGACACUUGGGUCAGCCGUAGUGACGAGGAAGUGGGCAGAGAACGGAAGGGUCCCACCGUCUUCCAGGAG